UAAUCUCACCAUCUGACUCUUUGUCGUCAGCAUGCUGUGGAGUUGGAUGCUGCUGUGCUUGUGACAGCUCAUCUGAAAUUUCUGAGUGCAUCCUGUAUUGCGAUGUGUUUGGUGUGAUAAAUCUUCACCAUAAUUGACUUACCAAGUCACGCUCGCUUGAUGGCUCUGUGCUUCCAAACAUCCUUAAUGGGAUAAUAGUUGACA
rnacentral:misc_RNA from 1 species